rnacentral:rRNA from 1 species
GAGCGAAAUUCCUUGUCGGGUAAGUUCCGACCUGCACGAAUGGUGGAAUGAUAGAGCGACUGUCUUGGCGAACGGCUCGGCGAAUUUGUGGUUCCGGUGAAGACGCCGGAUGCCCGCAUCUAGACGGAAAGACCCCGUGCACCUUUACUGCACUCUGGUCAUGAGUAACGGAAUAGUCUGCGUAGCAUAGGCAGGAGCCUGUGAACCUCUGGUUUCGGCUGGAGGGGAGGCAACAGUGAAAUACUGCCCUGAUUGUUCUGUCGCUCUAACCUACCGCCCGUGACGGGCGGGGAGACACGGCCAGACGGGUAGUUUGACUGGGGCGGUCGCCUCCUAAACGGUAACGGAGGCGCCCAAAGAUCGGCUCAGGCGGAUUGGAAACCCGCUGUGGAGUGCAAGAGCAGAAGCCGGUUUGACUGUGAGACUUACAAGUCGAGCAGGGACGAAAGUCGGGUCUAGUGAUCCGGUGGUCCCGCGUGGAAGGGCCAUCGCUCAACGGAUAAAAGGUACGCCGGGGAUAA